CCUAAUUCCUAAACUGUUUGAACUAAAACUCCCAAAAUCAAUCCCAACCUUCCUUUUGUAGUCAUAAACCUUGUGUCAAAAUUUCAUAGAUUUCUAUUUACUAAAACUAAAGUUAUAGUGCGAAAACCAAGAAAUUGCUUAUUUGGGCCCUUUUUGGCCCCUAAUUCCUAAAAUGUUGGGACCAAAACUCCCAAAAUCAAUCCCAACCUUCCUUUUGUGGUCAUAAACCUUGUGUUAAAAUUUCAUAGAUUUCUAUUCACUUAAACUAAAGUUAUAGUGCGAAAACCAAGAAAAUGCUUAUUUGGGCCCUUUUUGGCCCCUAAUUCCUAAAAUAUUGGGACAAAAACUCCCAAAAUCAAUCCCAACCUUCCUUUUGUGGUCAUAAACCUUGUGUUAAAAUUUCA
rnacentral:lncRNA from 1 species